ensembl:snoRNA SNORD72 small nucleolar RNA, C/D box 72
AGCUUAUCGAUGAUGUUGUAAAAAUAAAUGUCUGAACAUAUGAAUUUGAUAACUGAUUUCAGCAUUUAACUGAGAUAAGCA